CCCCAGCAAAGCUCAGUGGGCAGGGGUUCCCAGGGGCUGCACCACCCUCACCCCCCACAAAUGCAGGUCCUCCAGGGUUUGGUAGUGGGGACCCUGGGACAUCCUCCUGGGAACACCCCUCUGGCUGCUCCAAACGCACACCUGAUCGUUCAAUCAAGAGCUAGUGGAAUCAAAAAAGUUUCUGAGCCCAGGGCUUCUCAUUCCUUUCUGUUUUAUGACGUGACGGCUCUUAGACACAUGGGAGUGAAAGGAGCGUGUCUGAGCCCCAUUGUCCAUCCUCCAGAUUCGACAGCCAUUACUGUUUUUCACACACACACCCUCAUCUUUUCUUUCCCUUCCUUUUUCCUUGUUCAUUUCCACCAUGUUAAAGCAUCCACCAUCAGCAGUUGCUUUGCCCCAAUGAGCCUGAGUGAGCACCUUGGACACGUGCCUGUCCUGUCGUGCUGCAGUGUCACCAGCGAGAUGGAGGGUGUCCCCGGGUCCUCAGAUGCCUUUGGCGGCUGGUUUAUUUGCACCAGGAUCACUACCAGCCAUGCCACAGAAAGAUGUUAUGCAUAUAUUCAGAGGUCUGUGCCUCCCUGAGUGAAGAGGUCAUGUGAGGUCCAGGACCUCUGUGCUCUCGGGGCCUGAGAGGAAGUGCCCCCGACUGACUAGCGGGUCCCUCUGCCUCUGCAGCUGCUUCCUUCACGGACUCAGCACCUACUAAGCACAGGCCCCUCGAGGCUCAGGUUCGAGCACCCCUCCCUCAUUAACCUCCAUCUGUAGGAUGAGGAUGAUGAUGUGUUCUUUGCCCUGUCACUCUCCCUCCCUUAAUGGCCACUCGUGGGCCGGUCCAAGCCCUGAAGCCCCAUCCACAUGUCAGAAGCCACAGCCCUCCUGGUCAUCUUCAGCUGAAACACAGGGUCCUCAUGGCAUGGGCAGGUUCCAGGGCACCUGCUUCUCGGAGACACUGGGCAUCCGGCCACACCUGACCUUUGUGAGCACACAGAGACUGUCUGUGCGCAACUCCAGGCCCACUGCUGUGGACUGAAGGGUCACCCCCAAAUUCAUAUACAGAGGCCCUCAUCCCCAGUGCAGUGGUGGGUAGAAAUGGGGCCUUCGGGUGGUGACUGGGUACAGUGAGGUCAUGAGGGUGGGGCCCGCAUGAUGGCAUUGGCGUCCUUGUAAGAAGGACUCCAGAGAGCUCUCUCCCCCACUCCGUGUGGGGACGCAGCGAGACAGCAGCUCAGGGAGGCUACUUCCCAGCUGGGCUCUGGGAAACACAGCGCUGCCCCUUCUCUUCCCCACCUCGGCCUCCACAGAGCUCGCUUUUCAGGCUGGCCUGGCUGCUGCAGGCAGGAGGCCGCCUCCGAGGAUGGGGAUGGAGGUCAGCUCAGUUGGAUGAGAUGAGCAAGAGGGAAUUGGAUGUUUUGCUGCCGUGUUAAGUCUUCAGCUUGACCCAGAGUUAAAUUAGCAUUGACUACGACUGGCUCCUGAAUCUACCUCCCCAGUAGCUCGGAGCCCACAUUGGAAAGCGGGGAUUGAGGCCCUGAGACCCCAGCAUCUUGGAGACAGAGACCUGGGCCAUGUCAGGCUAUAGAGCAUCGCGGCCGUGGGCCGGGAUGGGGACGUUCAGGCAGGCAUGGCUAUAAACAAAAACGUGGAAGAUGACAAACGUUGCCUAAGAUGUGGGGAAACUGGAAGCCGAGUGCAUUGCUGGUGGGAAUGUGAGAUGGUGCAGCUCCUGUGGAAGCUAGUUUGGUGGCUCCUCAUAAAGUUAAACGGAAAAUUACCGUAGGACCCGGCAAUUCCACUCCGAGGUGUACACGCCAAAUAAUUGCAAACAGGUCCUCAAACACACGCACGUGAACGUUCACGGCAGAGCUGUUCGCAGGAGCCAAAAGGUGGAAACAACCCAAGUGUCCAUCAACAGAAGGAUGGAUAAACACAUCGUGAUGAGUACACACGAGGGGAUAUUAUUUAGCCCCGAAAAAGGAUGCAGCACUGAUACAGGCUCCAACGUGAAUGAGGGAGUGAAGCCAGACAUAAAAGGUCACGUAUCGUAUGAUUCUAUUUAUGUGAAAUAUCCAUCAUUUGAAAGUCCACAGAGACAGAAAGCAGAUUCCAGAACCCUAAUUUUUAAAUGGACACAUUGCUGAACAGCUAAGAAACUACGUUCCCAGCUUCCCUUGCAUCUCUGAUGACCACGUGACCAGGUUUUAGCCAAUGGGAGGCUAAUAGAAGUGUCACAUAGAUGUGGUGGACCAACUGUUACAACGAUGCCCGUGACCCUCGGCUCCGGAGGUUGACAUCUUCGUGUGAUCUUCUCCCCUGGAGGUGGGCAGGAGCUCUGACCUGCUUCUAGAGGCAGAGAAUACAGCAAAUGUGGUAGGAUGUCUGUGACUCCAUGUGCAUGAUUACGUGUUCAUACGUACAUCACUACGUACAGAAGAUGGUAAUGUCUGUCUUCCAAGCAGCCUCUGUCUUCCUUGCUCGUUUGCUGAAGGAAGUGGCCUUUAGGGGAAAGCCCACAGGACAAGAAACUGCAGGUGGCUUCUGGGAGCUGAGGGAGGCCUCCAGCCACCAGCCGGGAAGAAACGGAAGCCCUCAGUCCCACAACCACAGAGCUGGAAUGCUCUCAACAGAGCCAUGUUAACUUGGAGUUCUGCGGGUCAGAGGUCUAAGAUCCAGGUGUCAGCCGGGCUGUGUUCCUUCUGCAGAGUCCAGG
rnacentral:lncRNA from 1 species